UGCUGGAGCAAGAAGAUCUCAGGCUCUAACCCUCUAGAGGGAAGCGCUUUCUGUCGUCUGAGAGAGAAGAAAGUGCAUCCUUUUAGAGGAUUACGGUUUGAGAAAAGCAAUGGUGAAGUUG
rnacentral:precursor_RNA from 8 species